AUUGAACGCUGGCGGCAGGCCUAACACAUGCAAGUCGAACGAGUGGCGGACGGGUGAGUAAUGACUGGGAAACUGCCUGAUGGAGGGGGAUAACUACUGGAAACGGUAGCUAAUACCGCAUACCAUCAGAUGUGCCCAGAUGGGAUUGGCUAGUUGGUGGGGUAACGGCGCACCAAGGCGACGAUCCCUAGCUGGUCUGAGCGGAUGACCAGCCACACUGGAACUGUGACAGGGUCCAUACUCCUACGGGAGGCAGCAGUGGGGAAUAUUGCGCAAUGGGCGCAAACCUUAUGCAGCCAUGCCGCGUGUAUGAAAACGGCCUUCGGGUUGUAAAGUACUUUCAGCGGGGGGGCGUUACCCGCAGAAGAAGCACCGGCUAACUCCGUGCCAGCAGCCGCGGUAAUAC
rnacentral:rRNA from 1 species